AGGUGUGAUCGUACCAGCAUAAAGGCACCUGAUCCCAUCAGAAUUCCGUAGUUACUCGUGCUUGGGCGAGAGUAGUACUAGGAUGGGUGACCUCCUUGGAUGUCCUCGUCUUGCACCUC
rnacentral:rRNA from 2 species